ensembl:lncRNA novel transcript
CAGAAUAACUACAAAACAAAAUUUGAAGAGGAGUCCAAGGCAUUUUCUGGUUCCAUACUUUUUUCAUUCUCCUGUUGGAUACCAUUUCUCCUGUCUGAUCCAAUGCUGAGCUCAGUGGUAAUGAAGUGCCACAUUGUGAAAGGGGAGCCUAGAACGGGGCUGCCAGAGAGACAGUCUGUAAUUGAAAGUUCUUUCAAGAGAAGGACUUCUAUCAGGUCUGCUGAGGGAAUAGGAGCUCCACCUGCUGACUUUUUUAUGUUUGCUGACUCUGAAAGAAUGCAAAACAUGAAGAAAUUGAAUGGUGUUAUUUCUUUUGUAAUUUCUCAGUGGAAAUAUUGUUUUCAAAAUUAUUGAUAAGAUGUACCAGUCUAACCAGGGCUUUCAAGAAGAAAAUGCAAUCUAUAGCUUGUUUUAAGAGUGGGGAUUAUGUUGGCUUCCCUGGGCCAGUCUAAAUAAUUACUUUAAUCUGGAACAACAUAUAAAUUCAUAAAUUGUUGCCACCACGACUCUUAGGGAAUCCUCGACUUUUCAAACAUUGCCUCUCUCAGCCAUAAAUUUACACUGCGCCACUCGCCCAUGUGUGUUUUGUUUUAAGAAGCUGUAGUCUCUUGUUACAUGUAGUUUGGAAGAAAUGCUAGAUGUUUUUGAUCUAAAGAAGAAAGAUCAAGUCCUAGUCAAACUUUAGUAUUUUAAAGGGCAUAGACAUUAUUUGAGUAUAUGUCGUCUGC